UUCACUAUGCCAUGCUCUUACCUCUACUAGCAGGCAUAAGACAUGCAUGGGUGCUUCUAUUUUAAGCCUUCAAGGACCACAGCUUGAGAGGCCCAGCAAUAAAAUAUAUCUGGCACGCAAAUGGACAUGAUUUCAUGUAUAUAUGCAGUGUUUAUUUUUACAGGAGACAAUUUAUUUGGUCUUUGUCUUAUCCACCGAGAAUUAUUCAUGUGUGUGAACAGAGCAUAAAGAAAGCUUUGGUCUCUCUUCAAGUUCAGGUGGGGCAAAUAUGGCGUGGCAAUGGCAAUCAGGCUGGAUUUCUUGGAGAAGGAAAGGCAGGUUUUCUCUUAGAUUCUCUCUUUAAUGGUCCGUCAAAUUGAUCGGUGUUCCAGUCUUGCAAUUAUUGAGACGCGGCUGUCCAGCAAAUGCUGAGGGACGAGGAUAAGCCUAUCCCCUGAAAUAAUUAACUUGAAAGAGUACGAGUCACGAGAGGGGGAGGGUUAGCUAUUUGGACACUACGAGAUAGGUGGGUGGGUCUAUUGACACAUCUUAGCCGCGGGUUCAAAAAACAAAAUGUAUUUAUUAGCCUAUUCUAUUAAAAUUACUAGGAGUAGUAGGGGGGGGUGUUUGUUCUUUUUGUUGCUGGUUAUAGAUUGUUUUUUUAUUUAUAUUUUUAAUAUGUUGAUUUUAAAUACAAAUAAAAAAAUUAAUAUAAUUUUAAUUAAAAAAUAAUUUUAUCAAAAAA